rnacentral:rRNA from 1 species
GACGAACGCUGGCGGCGUGCUUAACACAUGCAAGUCGAGCGAGAGAAAUUCCCUCGGGAAGGACUCUAGCGGCGGACGGGUGAGUAACACGUGGGUAACCUGCCUCAUAGAGGGGAAUAGCCUUUCGAAAGGAAGAUUAUACCGCAUAAGAUUGUAGUAUCGCAUGAUGCAGCAAUUAAAGGAGUAAUCCGCUAUGAGAUGGACCCGCGUCGCAUUAGCUAGUUGGUGAGGUAACGGCUCACCAAGGCGACGAUGGGUAGCCGACCUGAGAGGGUGAUCGGCCACAUUGGGACUGAGACACGGCCCAGACUCCUACGGGAGGCAGCAGUGGGGAAUAUUGCACAAUGGGGGAAACCCUGAUGCAGCAACGCCGCGUGAGUGAUGACGGUCUUCGGAUUGUAAAACUCUGUCUUCAGGGACGAUAAUGACGGUACCUGAGGAGGAAGCCACGGCUAACUACGUGCCAGCAGCCGCCGUAA